rnacentral:rRNA from 1 species
AGACAACUCUCAACAACGGAUAUCUUGGCUCUCGCAACGAUGAAGAACGCAGCGAAAUGCGAUACGUAGUGUGAAUUGCAGAAUUCCGCGAAUCAUCGAAUCUUUGAACGCUUAUUGCGCCCGAGG